rnacentral:rRNA from 1 species
AUACGGAGGGUGCAAGCGUUACUCGGAAUCACUGGGCGUAAAGCGCGCGCAGGCGGUUUGAUAAGUUGGAUGUGAAAUCCUAUGGCUCAACCAUAGAACUGCAUCCAAAACUGUCAAACUAGAGUCUGGGAGAGGAAGAUGGAAUUAGUUGUGUAGGGGUAAAAUCCGUAGAGAUAACUAGGAAUACCAAAAGCGUAGGCGAUCUUCUGGAACAGUACUGACGCUGAGGCGCGAAAGCGUGGGGAGCAAACAGGAUUAGAAACCCCAGUAGUCC